GAUGAAGAACGCCAGCGAAAUGCGAUAAGUAAUGUGAAUUGCAGAAUUCAGUGAAUCAUCGAAUCUUUGAACGCACAUUGCGCCCGCCAGUAUUCUGGCGGGCAUGCCUGUUCGAGCGUCAUUUCAACCAUCAAGCCCUGCUUGCGUUGGGGUCCUGCGGCUGCCCGCAGGCCCUGAAAACCAGUGGCGGGCUCGCUAGUCACACCGAGCGCAGUAAUACAUCUCGCUUUGGGCGUGCGGCGGGUUCUUGCCGUUAAACACCCCCUUUUUACCAAGGUUGACCUCGGAUCAGGUAGGAAUACCCGCUGAACUUAAGCAUAUCAAUAAGCGGAGGA
rnacentral:misc_RNA from 1 species